rnacentral:lncRNA from 1 species
AAAUAUUCUGUAACAGACUGAGUAGCUUUACGAGCAAUAGCAAGCUGCGAAUGGAUUUGGAUGGCCUUAGCUUUUGAUUGUGUAGCAAAAGUAGUGUGAAGAGAUGUUCAAACUGCAUGAGAAGUAGGGCAUUGUGCUACUUGCAUCAGUAUAUCAUCGGUAAGAGAGGCAUUAAUAUAACUGAGAAGAAGAUUGUCUUGGGUUUCC